rnacentral:rRNA from 2 species
CGGUAAUACGUAGGUGGCAAGCGUUGUCCCGGAUUUAUUGGGCGUAAAGCGAGCGCAGGCGGUUUUUUAAGUCUGAUGUGAAAGCGUUCGGCUCAACCGAAGAAGUGCAUCGGAAACUGGGAAACUUGAGUGCAGAAGAGGACAGUGGAACUCCAUGUGUAGCGGUGAAAUGCGUAGAUAUAUGGAAGAACACCAGUGGCGAAGGCGGCUGUCUGGUCUGUAACUGACGCUGAGGCUCGAAAGUAUGGGUAGCAAACAGGAUUAGAUACCCUGGUAGUCCAUACCGUAAACGAUGAAUGCUAAGUGUUGGAGGGUUUCCGCCCUUCAGUGCUGCAGCUAACGCAUUAAGCAUUCCGCCUGGGGAGUACGGCCGCAAGGCUGAAACUCAAAGGAAUUGACGGGGGCCCGCACAAGCGGUGGAGCAUGUGGUUUAAUUCGAAGCUACGCGAAGAACCUUACCAGGUCUUGACAUACUAUGCAAAUCUAAGAGAUUAGACGUUCCCUUCGGGGACAUGGAUACAGGUGGUGCAUGGUUGUCGUCAGCUCGUGUCGUGAGAUGUUGGGUUAAGUCCCGCAACGAGCGCAACCCUUAUUAUCAGUUGCCAGCAUUAAGUUGGGCACUCUGGUGAGACUGCCGGUGACAAACCGGAGGAAGGUGGGGAUGACGUCAAAUCAUCAUGCCCCUUAUGACCUGGGCUACACACGUGCUACAAUGGAUGGUACAACGAGUUGCGAACUCGCGAGAGUAAGCUAAUCUCUUAAAGCCAUUCUCAGUUCGGAUUGUAGGCUGCAACUCGCCUACAUGAAGUCGGAAUCGCUAGUAAUCGCGGAUCAGCAUGCCGCGGUGAAUACGUUCCCGGGCCUUGUACACACCGCCCGUCACACCAUGAGAGUUUGUAACACCCAAAGUCGGUGGGGUAACC